rnacentral:rRNA from 1 species
AACGCUGGCGGCAUGGCUAAAACAUGCAAGUCGAACGCGAAAGUCCCUUCGGGGACGAUUAGAGUGGCGAAAGGGCGAGUAAUGCGUUUCUAACGUGCCCCCAGGUGCGGGAUAGCUCGGGGAAACCCGUGGUAAUACCGCAUAAUCCGGUAACGGCAAAGGCUUGCUGCCUGGGGAUCGGGAAACGUGCUAUCAGGUUGUUGGUAGGGUAAAGGCCUACCAAGCCUAAGACGGCUAGCGGGUGUGAGAGCACGACCCGCCGCAUCGGGACUGAGACACUGCCCGGACUCCUACGGGAGGCUGCAGUAACGAAUAUUCCGCAAUGCGCGAAAGCGUGACGGAGCAAUGCCGCGUGCAGGAUGAAGCCCCUCGGGGUGUAAACUGCUGUCAGAAGCCAGAACAACCGAUCAGCUUCAGAGGAAGGACCGGCUAACUUCGUGCCAGCAGCCGCGGUAAUACGAAGGGUCCGAGCGUUAAGCGGAGUCACUGGGCUUAAAGCGUGCGCAGGCGGACUGGUAAGCGUCUUGUGAAAUCCCACCGCUCAACGGUGGAACUGCUUGGCGAACUACCAGUCUUGAGGUCGGCAGGGGCUGCCAGAACUCUAGGUGGAGCGGUGAAAUGCGUAGAUAUCUAGAGGAACGCCAAAGGCGAAGGCAGGCAGCUGGGCCGAUUCUGACGCUCAGGUACGAAAGCGUGGGUAGCGAACGGGAUUAGAUACCCCGGUAGUCCACGCCCUAAACGAUGUGCACUAGAUCGGGGAGGUUCUGACACCAUCCCGGUCGAAGUUAAAAUAUUAAGUGCACCGCCUGGGGAGUACGGUCGCAAGGCCAAAACUCAAAGGAAUUGACGGGGGCUCACACAAGCGGUGGAGCAUGUGGCUUAAUUCGAAGCAACGCGAAGAACCUUAUCCAGGGUUUGACAUGGUUGGAUUAGCUUCUUGAAAGAGAAGUAACGCGGUUUCCGUGGAACAAUCACAGGUGCUGCAUGGCUGUCGUCAGCUCGUGCUGUGAAGUGUCGCGUUAAGUCGCUCAACGAGCGAAACCCCUGCCGUUAGUUGCCAGCGAGUCAUGUCGGGGACUCUAACGGGACUGCCGGUGUCAAACCGGAGGAAGGUGGGGAUGACGUCAAGUCCUCAUGGCCUUUAUGCCCUGGGCUGCACACGUGCUACAAUGGUGACCACAGAGCGACGCGAUACCGCAAGGUGGAGCAAAUCGCAAAAAAGUCACCUCAGUUCGGAUUGGGGUCUGCAACUCGACCCCAUGAAGUUGGAAUCGCUAGUAAUCGCGCAUCAGCUACGGCGCGGUGAAUGUGUUCCUGAGCAUUGUACACACCGCCCGUCAAGUCAUGGAAGCCGGGAGCACCCAAAGUCGCCACGAUUCAGUGGUGCAUACGGUGAGCUCGUGACUGGGACUAAGUCG